rnacentral:rRNA from 1 species
CGGGACACGUGGUAUCCUGUCUGAAUAUGGGGGGACCAUCCUCCAAGGCUAAAUACUCCUGACUGACCGAUAGUGAACCAGUACCGUGAGGGAAAGGCGAAAAGAACCCCGGCGAGGGGAGUGAAAAAGAACCUGAAACCGUGUACGUACAAGCAGUGGGAGCACGCUUAGGCGUGUGACUGCGUACCUUUUGUAUAAUGGGUCAGCGACUUAUAUUCUGUAGCAAGGUUAACCGAAUAGGGGAGCCGAAGGGAAACCGAGUCUUAACUGGGCGUUAAGUUGCAGGGUAUAGACCCGAAACCCGGUGAUCUAGCCAUGGGCAGGUUGAAGGUUGGGUAACACUAACUGGAGGACCGAACCGACUAAUGUUGAAAAAUUAGCGGAUGACUUGUGGCUGGGGGUGAAAGGCCAAUCAAACCGGGAGAUAGCUGGUUCUCCCCGAAAGCUAUUUAGGUAGCGCCUCGUGAAUUCAUCUCCGGGGGUAGAGCACUGUUUCGGCAAGGGGGUCAUCCCGACUUACCAACCCGAUGCAAACUGCGAAUACCGGAGAAUGUUAUCACGGGAGACACACGGCGGGUGCUAACGUCCGUCGUGAAGAGGGAAACAACCCAGACCGCCAGCUAAGGUCCCAAAGUCAUGGUUAAGUGGGAAACGAUGUGGGAAGGCCCAGACAGCCAGGAUGUUGGCUUAGAAGCAGCCAUCAUUUAAAGAAAGCGUAAUAGCUCACUGGUCGAGUCGGCCUGCGCGGAAGAUGUAACGGGGCUAAACCAUGCACCGAAGCUGCGGCAGCGACGCUGAUGCGUUGUUGGGUAGGGGAGCGUUCUGUAAGCCUGUGAAGGUGUGCUGUGAGGCAUGCUGGAGGUAUCAGAAGUGCGAAUGCUGACAUAAGUAACGAUAAAGCGGGUGAAAAGCCCGCUCGCCGGAAGACCAAGGGUUCCUGUCCAACGUUAAUCGGGGCAGGGUGAGUCGACCCCUAAGGCGAGGCCGAAAGGCGUAGUCGAUGGGAAACAGGUUAAUAUUCCUGUACUUGGUGUUACUGCGAAGGGGGGACGGAGAAGGCUAUGUUGGCCGGGCGACGGUUGUCCCGGUUUAAGCGUGUAGGCUGGUUUUCCAGGCAAAUCCGGAAAAUCAAGGCUGAGGCGUGAUGACGAGGCACUACGGUGCUGAAGCAACAAAUGCCCUGCUUCCAGGAAAAGCCUCUAAGCAUCAGGUAACAUCAAAUCGUACCCCAAACCGACACAGGUGGUCAGGUAGAGAAUACCAAGGCGCUUGAGAGAACUCGGGUGAAGGAACUAGGCAAAAUGGUGCCGUAACUUCGGGAGAAGGCACGCUGAUAUGUAGGUGAAGCGACUUGCUC